rnacentral:rRNA from 1 species
GGCGAACGGGUGAGUAACACGUGGGCAAUCUGCCCUGCACUCUGGGAUAAGCCUGGGAAACUGGGUCUAAUACUGGAUAGGACCUUUCUCCUCAUGGGGUUUGGUGGAAAGUUUUUCGGUGCAGGAUGAGCCCGCGGCCUAUCAGCUUGUUGGUGGGGUAAUGGCCUACCAAGGCGACGACGGGUAGCCGGCCUGAGAGGGUGAUCGGCCACAUUGGGACUGAGAUACGGCCCAGACUCCUACGGGAGGCAGCAGUGGGGAAUAUUGCACAAUGGGCGGAAGCCUGAUGCAGCGACGCCGCGUGAGGGAUGACGGCCUUCGGGUUGUAAACCUCUUUCAGUAGGGACGAAGCGUAAGUGACGGUACCUGCAGAAGAAGCACCGGCUAAUACGUGCCAGCAGCCGCGGUAAUACGUAGGGUGCGAGCGUUGUCCGGAAUUAUGGGCGUAAAGAG